CACGUAGGGGGCGAGCGUUGUCCGGAUUUAUUGGGCGUAAAGAGCUCGUAGGCGGCUCGGUAAGUCAGGUGUGAAAACUCUAGGCUCAACCUAGAGACGCCACCUGAUACUGCCGUGGCUAGAGUCCGGUAGGGGAGCAUGGAAUUCCUGGUGUAGCGGUGAAAUGCGCAGAUAUCAGGAGGAACACCGGUGGCGAAGGCGGUUCUCUGGGCAUUACCUGACGCUGAGGAGCGAAAGCGUGGGGAGCAAACAGG
rnacentral:rRNA from 1 species